rnacentral:lncRNA from 1 species
UCGACAGACCGACUCAAGAAAGUCUCUACGCCCCUGAUAGGCUUCAUCGGAGAUGCAGUCACAACGGAAGGAGAAGUCACCUUGCCCAUGAUGGUCGGUACCGAACCAUGACAAAGCACAGUCCAUUUGACUUUUGCGGUCGUCCAGGUGCCUUCGGCCUACAACGCCAUACUUGGAAGACUCGGACUAAAUGCCCUCAAGGCGAUUGUCUCGACGUACCACCUCUUGGUUCGGUUUCCGACCAAAAAUGGAGUCGGGGAGAUGCGCGGAGAUCAACAGCUCGCUCGACGAUGCUUCCAGAUCUUCGUUCAAAGCGACGAGUUGAAGGGCCCCCUGACGAUCGACAAGCUAGACCCACGGG